UAGCAUGGCUAUUGUAAAAGUGCUGAUUUCUCUUCUCUUCUUCUUCUUUCUGAUCCUCAACCUAACCCUAAUAUCUCAUCACGGCACCAAUGCCCAGCAAAACUU